ACCUCAAAUCAGGUAGGAACACCCGCUGAACUUAAGCAUAUCAAUAAGCGGAGGAAAAGAAAAUAACAAUGAUUCCCCUAGUAACUGCGAGUGAAGAGGGACAAGCUCAAAUUUUAAAUCUAUCGGGUUUUACCUGAUCGAGUUGUAAUUUGAAGAUGGCGUUUUCUGUGUUUCUGAUCAGUCCAAGUCCUUUGGGAUAAGGCAUCAUGGAGGGUGAGAAUCCCGUUCGGUUGAUCAGAUUCGCUUUACGAUACGUUAUCAAAGAGUCAAGUUGUUUGGGAUUGCAGCUUAAAAUGGGAGGUAAAUUUCUCCUAAGGCUAAAUAACGGCGAGAGACCGAUAGCGAACAAGUACCGUGAGGGAAAGAUGAAAAGAACUUUGAAAAGAGAGUUAAACAGUACGUGAAAUUGUUGAAAGGGAAACGAUUGAAGCCAGUCGUACCUUCGGGUAAUCAGCCUUUCGGGUGCGAUUCUGUGGAGUUUGAGGAGCUUUAACACCUUCAUGCUUUGCAUAUUCGUGCUCUUGGGUGUACUUGCCCGUGUGGUUGGUUAACAUCAAUUUCGGGCAUCAUAAAAUGGCUGGAGGAAUGUAGCUUCGAUCUUGUAUUGAAGUGUUAUAGCCUUCGGUAGAUGUGGUGAUCGAGAUUGAGGAUUGCAACGGAUACCUUUCGGGGCUACCUGUCUGAUCUCUGAUCGUUGCUCUGGUACCGAAAGCUUGCUUACGGUUAUCAAAGUCGAUGGUCAAUAGGUUAGAACGGGUUAAAUUCGUUAAGGAUGUUGACGUAAUGGCUUUAAACGACCCGUCUUGAAACACGGACCA
rnacentral:rRNA from 1 species